GCCGGAUUAGCUCAGUGGUAGAGCGUGUCACUCGUAAGCUUAGCUUUGAGGUAUGAUAAGGUCUACGGUUCAAUCCCGUAAUUCGGCA